rnacentral:snRNA from 1 species
GUGUUUGAGCAGUGUAUACACUAAAAUUGGAAUGAUACAGAGAUUAGCAUGGCUCCCUGCACAAGGAUGACGAAAAAAUUUGUGAAGCCUUUCAUAUUUAA